UGCUCUCCCUAGCUAGCUGGUUUCAUGUUGAAAAAUGUAGUCCACGAGAAGAAUUUUCUUUAUGCGAGUGCGAGCAAGCCUGUCAGCAGUUGGAUCAUUUCUUUUAUUUAAUGUAGAACACCCAACGCAGAUGCAAAGUUGGAGCCCUAGGAGGACUAACUGAUGGAUCAGGAUGGAGCUGUCGACGUCGACGCCUCACCUCGGGCACCGCUACCCAAGCUGAAAUCUGUAAUUAAC
rnacentral:misc_RNA from 1 species